rnacentral:rRNA from 1 species
UUCUUACUAAAUUUUUGUAAGUAACACCUGCUCAAUGACAUAUUUAAUAGCCGCGGAAAUUUAACUGUGCUAAGGUAGCAUAAUCAUUAGCCCCUUAAUUAGGGGCUUGUACGAAGGGUGAAACAUUUCAAUUUCUAUUUUAUUUAAUUUUUUCUAACUUAAAUUAAAAAUAAUAAUGUUUUUAUAAAAAAAAUAGACGAUAAGACCCUUUUGAACUUUACUGAAGUUUAGCUGGGGCAGCUAUAAAAUAAUAAUCUUUUAUCAUUUUAUUUUCUUAAAUGACCCAAUAUAAUUGAUUAUUUGAACAAGUUACCAUAGGGAUAACAGCGUAAUUUCUUUUUAAAGCUCUUAUUAAAAAAGAAGAUUGCGACCUCGAUGUUGAAUUAGUGAAACUUUAACAAUGCAGCCAUUUUAAAAGUAGGUCUGUUCGACCUUUAAAACACUACAU